AAACACCACCCUUUCCUUUGCAUGGUCACAAAUUCCACUCUCCCUGUAGCCAGGGCAGUGCCGCAGCACCUCCUCGACCACAUCUCACCGCAUUCGACCUUUCCGCCUUCUCUUCUCAGUCUUCCACGGAACCUUUUCUGACCCAUUUUUUGAGGGUUUUCAUUUUUUUUUUUUUUUUUUUUUUUUAACGGUAAAUACGGAUAGGACCGGCCGCACAGGAGGGCGAAAGAGGGGACAGGGGCUGUUUCAAUGUUGUCUACCGAUGACUUGGCGAUUUGCUCUGGUUGAACUAGGGAUGCCGUUUUGGCUUCUUUUUCGAGUUUGUAGAUUUUUUGCGGGCAACGGAAUUGGCCUAGUCUGCACCCUAAGCCUGACUCCAUAUUGCCGCCAGGUGUAGGCUGACUCCGGUACGGACAUCGAACUGGUCAGCACCAUAGACAGACGUCCUCCACCGGUGAUGCACAUAAUGAUCUUCUACCUCUGCAUUACCUGGCAAGAC
ensembl:lncRNA